rnacentral:rRNA from 1 species
AGUGAACGCUGGCGGUAGGCCUAACACAUGCAAGUCGAACGGCAGCACAGUAAGAGCUUGCUCUUACGGGUGGCGAGUGGCGGACGGGUGAGGAAUACAUCGGAAUCUACUUUUUCGUGGGGGAUAACGUAGGGAAACUUACGCUAAUACCGCAUACGACCUACGGGUGAAAGCAGGGGAUCUUCUGACCUUGCGCGAUUGAAUGAGCCGAUGUCGGAUUAGCUAGUUGGCGGGGUAAAGGCCCACCACGGCGACGAUCCGUAGCUGGUCUGAGAGGAUGAUCAGCCAGACUGGAACUGAGACACGGUCCAGACUCCUACGGGAGGCAGCAGUGGGGAAUAUUGGACAAUGGGCGCAAGCCUGAUCCAGCCAUACCGCGUGGGUGAAGAAGGCCUUCGGGUUGUAAGGCCCUUUUGUUGGGAAAGAAAAGCAGCAGGUUAAUACCCCGCUGUUCUGACGGUACCCAAAGAAUAAGCACCGGCUAACUUCGUG